UUUUAGCCCCGGUUGAAGUGAAAAUCCUUUUUGUGAACUUUAUCAAAGUUCACAAAAAGAUUGAAACGGAAAACGGGACGAUCU
rnacentral:sRNA from 1 species